GUGCAAUGAUGUAAAGAUAAUCAUUUCUCUGAAACGUGAUGUUCUCAAAGGAACCACUGAUGCAC